UAGAGGUUGGUCACUGCACCAUGAGACUGAACUAGACUCUUUGCUGAAAGAAGGAAAUGUAACUCCUGCCCUCAGGGAGCUUACAAUCUCAUGGCUAUCCAACUCCCAAGUAUGAAAAAAAUCUGACAGUUAUCAACAAUGUGCAAAAGAAAAUGUAUACAUAAGUGCCGAUUAGAUGAGACGCAAUGGCUGAAAAGUUGUUUGAACUAAAAUAAUUCCUAGAAGUUGAGUGAAAAGCCAGGAUUUAAAGAAAGACAAAUUUUAAUGGAUACUCGCAAAAGGAAAUGACAAUACAUGAGCAUAACUUCAAUAGUGACCUGGAGUCUACAAAUGACACUAUGAAUUUGGCCUGUAGUCUCUCCUUUCUCAGUGAUCUACUUUCUUCUGUGCUUUCCCUUAAAUGUAUCAUACUCUAUUUUGAAUUCAGAUGCUUCUAUAUAUUAAACGACAGGGUCCAGCUACUUCAUAAACUCCUUCUAACUCAUCCUCAGGUCUCAACUGAAAUACCAUUUUCACAGGGAGGUUUUUUUCUAGUCACUUAAUCUGAAAUCUAUGUACCUUGUCAUUCUCCAUCUUGGCAUUUCUUUCAUAGCCCUUACCACAAUUUAUAACCAUAAGUUUAUUUGUGACCUUAUCAUUUGUCUUCCUUACUAGAUUAUACUACCUAGAGGCAAGGUGUUUGCAUUAUUUUUCAUUACUGUAUACAUAUUGCUUAGCACAGUGCCUAACACUUUAUAUAUAUUUGUUGAAAUGGAAUUAAAUAGUACAUAUUUCUGUGAAGGCCAGAAAUCCAUAUAUAAAACUGAUUCCAAUGCCCAAAAUGGUUUUAUUUUAAAUAUUUACCAAAUUGAAGUUGUGCUAACUUCAGAUACAUAGAAAUCUUUACCUAUGAAAUUAAUUUCAAUUUGGAUCAAAUACUUCAAUAAUAUAUUCAACAAUAUUUCAAUAGGUUUUACAAUAAACCUAAUUUGUUCGUGAGAAUCUUUAAUCCAUCCAAGGUAAGGAAUAUAAUCCUGGAUAGGAACGGGGGAUGUGAAAGCAGGACGGUCAGAGCUGCUUCCAGUCCAUACAAGGUGCCUUGGCGCAAAUUAGAAAAAGGAGCCACAUCGUCUGGGUAGACAUGGCCAUGCAGCAAUAAACUCUGCUUGGUUAGUGGAGCCUGGGUAGGAUUUCAGCUCCCAUUAGCUGCCUCAGCCAGGUCUCCUGAAUAGGGCAUGGCAGUGGGUGCCACGAGGGUGUCAGUCCCAGAGGUGGCUGCUCCAUGGUGGUGAGAGCAGAAGAUGGCAACCUGGCCACCUUGAUACGGCUCCAUUCCUUACUGAAAAAGACCAAUUUCAUUUGUCUGGAUGAGUUUGAUCGGGUAGGGGUCCCGUCUUCUGACCAUUUCUGAUGAUUUAGCUGAAGAAGGAGUUCUCCCUGAUGGAAGAAGACCAUUUUUCAUGUUCAAGGGUGCAGAUGGCUGUGCAGCCUGCAAGUGGGCUUUCAAGGUUCAGUCUUAGGAAAUAAUCCAGCGUUGAUUCUUGAGUCCUAUAAAAUUAUGCUGCCAAGCUGGCUGCAGGUGGGCUUUGCAAUUUCCCUCUGCAAAAAAUGAGUAAGAAGUCAGUUCACUUGUGUAACACUGCUCAGUGACUACAGGGAAAUUCUACUAGUGGCACUGAGAAUAAGCUCGGCUAUUUCAUCAGUGACCGGAUU
ensembl:lncRNA